rnacentral:misc_RNA from 1 species
AACAAUGGCCAAUUCUCUGCAGCUCUCAUCUUCUACAGCAUCAAGUAUAUUUGACAAACAACCGGCAAAACUUACCCAACGUGAUGUGCUGAUCAUCGCACUCCUCUAGCAAUUGAUUAAACCUAUGCAUGAGGAGAGGAGCCAUGUAUAACCCCAACUAUAACCGCCACGCAAUAACUCACCUCUAGUUUCUUCACAGGCCUCUCCCCACUUCUUCAAGUGCUGCUGCCAUUGAUGCUGAGGCCUCCUCGAGUGUUCGUCUUUUCUGAACUGAGUUGAAAGCCUCCAGAAUAUCACCCACCUCAAAGUCAUCGAAAUCUUCAACCCCAAUACCACACUCCAGUCCCGCAUUAACCUCUUUCACAGUUUCCUUCACCCGUCUUAAAGAUUCGACCACACCAACAUGAACUGCUUUGCCUUUUCUAGUGACACGAACACCACAUUCUUCCACUACUUUUCCCUCUGUUACCAUGCAUCCAGCCCCGCAUUAACCUCUUUCACAGUUUCCUUCACCCGUCUUAAAGAUUCGACCACACCAACAUGAACUGCUUUGCCUUUUCUAGUGACACGAACACCACAUUCUUCCACUACUUUUCCCUCUGUUACCAUGCAUCCAGC